GAAAAAACGAAAUAUCCAACUUUUCACUACAUUUUACAUGUUCACGUCUUCAGCCUGUCUUGUUUGUUCCGUUUCUUUAAACAUUUCUUUUUGAUCUUCUCUUUCCUUCCUUUUUAUUUAAGAUUUUCCUUUCUAGGCAGAAGGGCCUUUCCUGCCCCUUCCCCCUGGCGGCUUGGGUCUAAUGUGCAAACUCCUCCUCCAAACCUUAGACCCUUCCAGCUCUAGAUCUCUCCCCACCUCCUAUCAAGCCCACCCGUCACUCCUUCCCCCACCCCACAGCACGAACACGCCCAAGGACAAUCGCUCCCCAGCGAACUCGCUGCACUCAGGGACCAGUCCCCAGGACGCUGUGCAGGCGGUCAAGGACAGCGAGUCAGAGAGGAUGGGCCCUGCCGCUGAGCACCCGUCCAGCACCCACCAGCCUGCACGCAGGAGGCAGCGCGGGGAAGCACAGCCACAAACAGACCUCCAAGGAGCCCUCCGAAAGUAG
rnacentral:lncRNA from 1 species